UACGAGGGGGGCGAGCGUUGUUCGGAAUUAUUGGGCGUAAAGGGUGCGUAGGCGGUUUGGUAAGUCUUAUGUGAAAUCUAUGGGCUCAACUCAUAGUCUGCAUGAGAAACUGCCGGGCUUGAGUAUGGGAGAGGUGAGUGGAAUUCCCAGUGUAGAGGUGAAAUUCGUAGAUAUUGGGAAGAACACCGGUGGCGAAGGCGGCCUUCUGGACAGUGACUGACGCUGAGACGCGAAAGCGUGGGGAGCGAACAGG
rnacentral:rRNA from 1 species